GCGGUCGUAGCUCAGCUGGAUAGAGCAUCAGCUUGCGGAGCUGAGGGUCGGAGGUUCGAAUCCUCCCGAUCGCACCA
rnacentral:tRNA from 1 species